rnacentral:other from 1 species
GGAGGGCUGCCGAGUACGUUAUUCGCACAUCAACCUCUGGGCCGAUAAGCACUCCUAAGGGAGCUGGCACUGUUGCAGCCGUGGUUGCAUUAUUUCCGGCUACCCACCUGUUAAAGCAGGUCCGGGAGGGCUGAUAAUGGAGACGGCUACGGUGGCUCUUUU